rnacentral:rRNA from 1 species
CGAACGGGUGAGUAAUGCAUCGGAAUGUACCGUGUAAUGGGGGAUAGCUCGGCGAAAGCCGGAUUAAUACCGCAUACGCCCUGAGGGGGAAAGUGGGGGACCGUAAGGCCUCACGUUAUACGAGCAGCCGAUGUCUGAUUAGCUAGUUGGUGGGGUAAAGGCUCACCAAGGCGACGAUCAGUAGCGGGUCUGAGAGGAUGAUCCGCCACACUGGGACUGAGACACGGCCCAGACUCCUACGGGAGGCAGCAGUGGGGAAUUUUGGACAAUGGGCGCAAGCCUGAUCCAGCCAUGCCGCGUGUCUGAAGAAGGCCUUCGGGUUGUAAAGGACUUUUGUCCGGGAGCAAAUCCCAGUGGUUAAUACCUACUGGGGCUGAGAGUAC